UAAUACGUAGGUCCCGAGCGUUGUCCGGAUUUAUUGGGCGUAAAGCGAGCGCAGGCGGUUUGAUAAGUCUGAAGUUAAAGGCUGUGGCUCAACCAUAGUUCGCUUUGGAAACUGUCAAACUUGAGUGCAGAAGGGGAGAGUGGAAUUCCAUGUGUAGCGGUGAAAUGCGUAGAUAUAUGGAGGAACACCGGUGGCGAAAGCGGCUCUCUGGUCUGUAACUGACGCUGAGGCUCGAAAGCGUGGGGAGCGAACAGGAUUAGAUACCCUGGUAGUCCACGCCGUAAACGAUGAGUGCUAGGUGUUGGAUCCUUUCCGGGAUUCAGUGCCGCAGCUAACGCAUUAAGCACUCCGCCUGGGGAGUACGACCGCAAGGUUG
rnacentral:rRNA from 2 species